GUGUCAGCCGCCGCGGUAAUACGUAGGGCGCAAGCGUUAUCCGGAAUUAUUGGGCGUAAAGAGCUCGUAGGCGGUUUGUCGCGUCUGCUGUGAAAACCCGAGGCUCAACCUCGGGCCUGCAGUGGGUACGGGCAGACUAGAGUGCGGUAGGGGAGAUUGGAAUUCCUGGUGUAGCGGUGGAAUGCGCAGAUAUCAGGAGGAACACCGAUGGCGAAGGCAGAUCUCUGGGCCGUAACUGACGCUGAGGAGCGAAAGGGUGGGGAGCAAACAGGCUUAGAUACCCUGGUAGUCC
rnacentral:rRNA from 1 species